CAGCCGCGGUAAUUCAGCUCCAAUAGCGUAUAUUAAAGUUGUUGCAGUUAAAAAGCUCGUAGUUGAAUUUCGGGGUAAGUAGGUUGGUCAUGCCACUGGUAUGUACUGGUCUCACUGAUUCCUCCUUCCUGAUGAGCCGUAAUGCCAUUAAUUUGGUGUUGCGAGGAAUCUGGACUGUUACUUUGAAAAAAUUAGAGUGUUUAAAGCAGGCUAACGCUUGAAUACAUUAGCAUGGAAUAAUGAAAUAGGACGUUCGAUCUUAUUUUGUUGGUUUCUAAGAUUGACGUAAUGAUUAAUAGGGAUAGUUGGGGGCAUUAGUAUUCAAUUGUCAGAGGUGAAAUUCUUGGAUUUAUUGAAGACUAACUACUGCGAAAGCAUUUGCCAAGGAUGUUUUCAUUAAUCAAGAACGANAGUUAGGGGAUCGAAGACGAUCAGAUACCGUCGUAGUCUUAACCAUAAACUAUGCCGACUAGGGAUCGGAUGAUGUUAAUUUUUUAAUGACUCAUUCGGCGCCUUACG
rnacentral:rRNA from 1 species